GAUCAUGGCUCAGGAUGAACGCUGGCGGCGUGCUUAACACAUGCAAGUCGAACGAAGCACUUUAAUUGAUUUCUUCGGAAUGAAGUUUUGUGACUGAGUGGCGGACGGGUGAGUAACGCGUGGGUAACCUGCCUUAUACAGGGGGAUAACAGUUAGAAAUGACUGCUAAUACCGCAUAAGCGCACAGGAUUGCAUGAUCUGGUGUGAAAAACUCCGGUGGUAUAAGAUGGACCCGCG
rnacentral:rRNA from 1 species